AUGCAUGACUACACAAACACAAUAAGUACCUCCCACGGUCUAUGGACGCCCAUUCCUACUUCUUGUCGAGUUCACGGUCGCAGGAAUGCCUAGCAUGGUGUGUCUCUUCUUCCUUUCAGAGAUACUCUUCUCCCUGUCCUUAAGCCUAAUAUCUUCCAUCACUGCCACUGGAGAGGAUCAGUUCGUCUACUCCGGCUUCUCCAGGAGUUACCUCAGCCUUGACGGAGCAGCCACUAUUACACCAGAUGGCGUCCUUGAGCUGACAAAUCACACAGUUCACAUUAAAGGCCAUGCGUUCUAUCCAACUCCAUGGCGAUUCCGUAAGUCCCCUGGUGAGGUGGUGCAGUCUUUCUCAGUUACCUUUGUGUUCGGCAUGAUCCCCAUCUACUCUGAUCAAUGUACCGACGGAAUGACUUUCUUGAUCUCUCCGACCAAGGAUUUCUCAGGUGCACAGACCUCCCAAUACUUGGGUCUCCUCAACAAAACAAGUGAUGGCAAUAAAAAUAACCAUAUAUUUGCAGUUGAGCUUGAUAGUAGCCAAAAUACGGAGUUCAAUGACAUUGAUGACAACCAUAUCGGCAUCAACAUCAAUAGUCUCACCUCAAAUAAAUCAGGAUCAGCUGCCUUCUAUGAUGACAACAGUGGUAUGUUCAAAAACAUAUCCAUGGUUAGUCGCAAAGAAAUGCAAGUAUGGGUGGACUACGAUGGAGAGACCACACAGAUCAACGUGACAUUGGCUCCGCUAAGAUUGCCCAAACCAUCAAGGCCACUACUGUCAGCUACCUACAACCUAUCCACAGUGCUGGAAGAUCCAUCCUACGUUGGCUUCUCGGCAUCAACUGGUCCAAUCAAUUCACUAUAUUGUGUAACUGGCUGGAGCUUGGGCAUAAACCGUCCAGCUCCCUUGAUUGACAUUACCAAGUUGCCAAAGCUGCCUCAUGUUGGCCCAAAACCUCGGUCCAAGUUGCUUGAGAUCAUCCUACCAAUAGCCACAGCCAUAUUCAUCUUCCUUGUUGGAACAACUGUAAUUCAAUUGGUGCGGAGGAGAAUGAAAUAUGCUGAGAUCAAUGAAGAUUGGGAAGCUGAGUUUGGUCCACACCGCUUCUCAUACAAGGAUUUGUUCUAUGCUACAAAUGGAUUUAAGAAUAAGAAUCUACUCGGCCUAGGAGGAUUUGGGAAGGUGUAUAAAGGUCUGCUCUCUGUCUCAAAAUUGGAGGUUGCUGUAAAGAGAGUGUCCCAUGAGUCAAAGCAGGGAAUGAAGGAGUUUGUUGCUGAGAUUGUCAGUAUUGGCCGGCUCCGACAUCGCAACCUUGUCCAGCUACUCGGUUAUUGCAGUAGAAAAGGUGAACUCCCAAUGUAUAUGAAUAUAUGUCAAAUGGCAGUCUUGACAAGUAUUUACAUUGUGAAGAGGGCAAACCCACUCUGAAUUGGGCUCAAAGGUUUCAAAUCAUCAAAGGUGUAGCAUCCGGCCUAUUCUACCUCCAUGAGAGGUGGGAGAAAGUUGUAAUUCAUCGAGAUAUCAAGGCAAGCAAUGUGCUCCUUGACAGUGAGAUGAAUGGACGCCUAGGUGACUUUGGUCUUGCAAGACUGUAUGAUCAUGGCACUGAUCCACAAACAACCCAUGUGGUUGGUACAAUGGGGUAUCUAGCCCCAGAACUGGCAAGCACCGGUAAGGCAACGACUCAGACAGAUGUCUAUGCAUUUGGCAUUUUCAUUCUUGAAGUAACCUGCGGGCAAAGGCCUAUCAAUAGUCAUGCAGAUGAUAGUUCCCAGAUCUUGGUUGAUUGGGUUGUUGAGCAUUGGCACAAAGGAUCACUCACAUACACACUUGACAGUAGAUUACAAGGCAACUACAACUCUGAUGAGGUCAGGCUGGCAUUAAAUCUUGGUUUGUUGUGUGCACAUCCAUUUUGCAAUGCAAGGCCUAAUAUGCGUCAAGUCAUACAAUACCUUAACGGUGAGAUGCCACUCCCGGAGCUGAUGCCCACAAACAUAAGUUACGGUGUGUUGGGCCUGAUGCUAAAUGAAGGUUUUGACCAAUAUUCAGCAUUGGCGUCCACAGUUGGCAGCAGUUGCAUGACGUCCAGCCUCUCAAGUGGACGAUGAUAAUAGAUAGAUGCCUUACCCAUGGCCAUAUCAUCUUGUAGUUAGUAAGCCUGAUUAAGUUAUGGUAUGGAAUCUACUGUAAUUCUUAUUCCUAGUGUCAUAAUACUUACCUCAGGGAUUCUGAAGCAGAAAAUAAUCUGUCAAGUCUCUGUUUCUUCCUACUUCAUGGUUUUUAUAUGCUUCGAUGCAAGGGUUAUGCUGUCAGAUCUUGUAUACUGUUGUAGAGUCUGUACAUGUCAACUCUUGUAAAUUGUCUUAAAAUGCUGCACUGCACAAAGGAUACUCUAAUAUAUUGAAGACAA